rnacentral:tRNA from 1 species
GUCCCGUUAGUCUAGUGGCCAUGAGGAUCUCGCCCUCUCAAGGCGGGGACGCGGGUUCAAAGCGCAACGAGUUAGGCUCAUUGGCCUUUCUCCUGCGGAGAAAAUCCCGCACGGGGCA